GGGUGGGCUGUGGUGCAUGGUGGUGGUCAUAUUGUUAUUAGAAGCGGAAGCCAUGAGAGAGAAAAUGGGUGAUAAGCAUGAAAAGUUGGCGUAUAAAUGGGGUUUCUUGUUUUUGGGUAAUUGAGAAGGUAAAGAAAGGCUGUUCAGAAAAAAUUAGAGAAGGUAGAGAGAGAGGGAGAGAGGAGAAGGGUUUUUAAAGGGUUUGUCUUUGAGCUGCGUUUGAGAUUUAUAGGGCAACGCGUGUGGGGUUGAAUGUCAGAAGGAGAUAUGCCAAAUGAUAAUACUUUAGUUUGG
rnacentral:misc_RNA from 1 species